GAUGAACGCUGGCGGCGUGCCUAAUACAUGCAAGUCGAGCGAACAGACGAGGAGCUUGCUCCUCUGACGUUAGCGGCGGACGGGUGAGUAACACGUGGAUAACCUACCUAUAAGACUGGGAUAACUUCGGGAAACCGGAGCUAAUACCGGAUAAUAUAUUGAACCGCAUGGUUCAAUAGUGAAAGACGGUUUUGCUGUCACUUAUAGAUGGAUCCGCGCCGCAUUAGCUAGUUGGUAAGGUAACGGCUUACCAAGGCGACGAUGCGUAGCCGACCUGAGAGGGUGAUCGGCCACACUGGAACUGAGACACGGUCCAGACGCCUACGGGAGGCAGCAGUAGGGAAUCUUCCGCAAUGGGCGAAAGCCUGACGGAGCAACGCCGCGUGAGUGAUGAAGGUCUUCGGAUCGUAAAACUCUGUUAUUAGGGAAGAACAAAUGUGUAAGUAACUAUGCACGUCUUGACGGUACCUAAUCAGAAAGCCACGGCUAACUACGUGC
rnacentral:rRNA from 1 species